CGUUGUGCCUGCCCCCUGGGUCCCCACCAUCUCUGACAAGUUUGGAACAAAGAAGGAGAAGGAUUAUGAGCAUGGGGAAAGAGGGAGGGAGGAACGGAGAUUCACUGUCACGCACCACUUGAGCACGGGGAAGAGGACACCAAUGCUCACUUGCACAUUGAACAAUUGUAACCUUUAUCACUGUAAAUAAACGCACUGUUGUUCAUUCAGAGCUCCGUGCCAGGGUCCACUCAUUCACCCCCGGUGACAGCAAUGACAUACACACCCUGAGGUUCUCAGAACAAGCAGAUUGAGCUUGAAAAGAAAGACUUAGCAGCAGCUUUCUCUCUCACAAGACUGAUCAGCAAUUUGAGUUCAUGAUGCAGCUUUAUGGAGCUCUGAUCCUGUGUGUGACUCUGUCUGCAGCAUGUGGAUUAAAAUGCUACACAUGUGCAGCUGCAGAUCCUAAAUCCUGCACAGACACCACAUCUUGUGCAUUCAUCUUCAACCGUUGUUUCUCUGGCAGAGUAGAUGGUCUUAAUGUAGUUACAAAGGGCUGCCUAAACAGUGUAGCAUGUGUUUGGCCUAUGUCUUGCUGUGAAGGGGACCUGUGUAACAGCACUAUUC